rnacentral:rRNA from 1 species
AGAGACAGCAGCAGCCGCGGUAAUACGUAGGUGGCAAGCGUUGUCCGGAGUUAUUGGGCGUAAAGCGCGCGCAGGCGGAUAGGUCAGUCUGUCUUAAAAGUUCGGGGCUUAACCCCGUGAUGGGAUGGAAACUGCCAAUCUAGAGUAUCGGAGAGGAAAGUGGAAUUCCUAGUGUAGCGGUGAAAUGCGUAGAUAUUAGGAAGAACACCAGUGGCGAAGGCGACUUUCUGGACGAAAACUGAUGCUGAGGCGCGAAAGCCAGGGGAGCGAACGGGAUUAGAUACCCGCGUAGUCCCUGUCUCUUAUACA